GCUGGAUGAUGUGUGUGUGUGUGUGCUGGAUGAUGUGUGUGUGUGUGUGCUGGAUGAUGUGUGUGUGAGUGCUGGAUGAUGUGUGUGUGUGUGCUGGAUGAUGUGUGUGAGAGUGCUGGAUGAUGUGUGUGAGAGUGCUGGAUGAUGGGUGUGUGAGUGCUGGAUGAUGGGUGUGUGAGUGCUGGAUGAUGGGUGUGUGUGUGCUGGAUGAUGGGUGUGUGAGUGCUGGAUGAUGG